rnacentral:rRNA from 1 species
GACGUAGGAUGCGAGCGUUGUCCGGAUUUAUUGGGCGUAAAGAGUUCGUAGGCGGUUCGUUAAGUCUGAUGUUAAAGACUGGGGCUCAACCUCGGGACUGCAUUGGAUACUGGCGGACUGGAGUGUGGUAGAGGCAAGUGGAAUUCCCAGUGUAGCGGUGAAAUGCGUAGAUAUUGGGAAGAACACCGGUGGCGCAAGCGACUUGCUGGGCCAUAACUGACGCUGAGGAACGAAAGCUAGGGGAGCGAAUGGG